CUCUCUUUUUACCUCAGUCGAGAGAAAAAUAAAAAAGUUUACAGGAAGAAAGAGCGAAGCCCAAAAAAUGAAGUGAAAACUUCGAGACUUGAGUUUACAGAAAAUAAUGACGCUUUGAGAGAGUGGAAAAUGCGAACCCUGCCAAGUCUUAUGAGAGGGCUGAGUUUACAGAAAUAAAUGGUGCUUUCGUGGAUCGGCACAGCAGUAGUGUGAACAUAACAAGUCUUAUGAGAUGUAACCUGGACCUAGUGACUCUGUCUCUAGCCUUGUCCUAAUGCAAAUUACUUGGUGGCCACUACCUGGGAUAAUCAGGUUUGCUUGGUUACAUGCUGGGAUGUCAUGCAGAGUCAGGCAAAAAGCAUCCUUAGAUCCAUGAUCAACCAGUAUUUGUUCUGUGCUCUAGCCUCUACUUGAAGGGAUGAUGUUCCCAUAGUGUUUACUAGAGGAUGUGAUAAGAUUGGGAACUGUGGCUUCCAACUCUGGUGGCCAACUUAUGCAAGUUGCUGUGCUUGAUGCACCUAUUAAAGAAGUUGUUUGGAUUGAACAGUUGAAUUGCCUAGUUAUGGCGAACUGGGAUAAUACAUC